CUUACUUAUAAAACUGCUUGGGGUUCUCUCAAGCUAAGAUUGCUCCAAGGCAACACUUUUGAUCAGGCAUGACAGUGAAGUACAUCCACUGAGGCAUAACGUUGUUUGUGUCCUGCACAAUAAAUGGCAGUUGGAUACAGGGAUGAUCUGCAGCAAAUCACUACAGGCUACCACGCAGCACCGCUGGCUGUCCCAUGGGCAUGCCAUGGCAGCCAGGACGUGCUAGUGGCCUCCCCAGGUGCUGGCUGCCAAACGGGGGUGCAAGUUUCAAAGGCAAAAAGAGCAGUGUUCCGAAAUGCUGGUUACGUUUUGUCUGUCUGUUGGACUUUCAUUUAUUUCUUAACACUUCAGCAAGAAACAGCUUUGCUUUGCUUUUCCCCGCCCAUCGCUGGCAGUCUAUUAUUGCCUGGUGUGAACAUUUUCAGUACUCUUCCCUUUUUCUUGCCAAGUACAGUAACAGGGGGAGGGGGAACAGACUCAUGCUGGUGUCAGUCUCCCUGUGCUUCUGCUUCUUUGCAGAAUGGGGAAAUGGGUUUUCUUUUUUUUUGUUGGUUUUUUUUUUGCCAUUUUUUACCACAUUGUGUUGAAUUGCCACUCUAUGCUGAGAGAGGCUCAUCGUAACAUGCCCUCUUGCCACCAAGUGUGUUGUAACAGUGCUGUGUGAAAGCCUGAAUCUGUUUCCAAGCUGGUGAGAAAAGGAAUGUACUGUCAAACCAGGAGGAGAGAAGCUCUGUGCUGGGCCAGAAAGAGAAGAAGGAAGGUUUGUUGUCCAGCUCAUUAGAAAUAAACAUUUUGCUGGUACCUCAAAUAGGAGGACUAGUCUGAUGAUGCCAUUACAAAUCAGAGAAGUAAUCAAAGGCUUUGGAAGGUAAGCACUUUUAUUCCUGAGCCCUUGUUAAUUUGCUGGUUCGAAAUUAAGGACUUUGUAUGAAAACUUACACUGGUGUGUGGAUUCAUCUCACAGAAAGUGCCAAUAAAAAUUCAGUUGAUGCUUUUUAAUGGACAGAUUUAUUUUUGGAGUAGUUAGGAGGGCAGUCUGAUGUUCUUGGUCAUGAUGUCCUCUGUCAGACUGCAUGCAGACUGAAGUGAUUUGUCCACAUUGGCUUAGUUGUACUGUAGUACUGCACUCAAACUAUCCUUUCAGCAGAAUAAAUUACAAAAGCGGCAAUUAAAAUUGUUUCACAUUUUACCUUCCUUUUCUUUACCUAAUUUCUAUGUCAGCUGAAACCAUCAAGAUCUAGAAAGUGAAGUAUCCCUG